CCCGAAAUAGCUAUUUGGGGGAAAAGCGUUAGACUGAAGAUCUAAAGGUCCCGGUUCAAUCCCGGUUUCGGCA